ensembl:piRNA 21ur-1586 ncRNA
UUACUAGAUAUUCUAUUAUAC